AGUGAACGCUGGCGGCGUGUUUAACACAUGCAGGUCGAACGAGAACGGAUUAUAGCUUGCUAUAAUUGUCAGCUAAGUGGCGCACGGGUGAGUAAUGUAUAGGUAAUAUGCCUCUUACUAAGGGAUAACAAAUGGAAACGUUUGCUAAUACCUUAUACUCCUUAUUAACAGAAGUUAAUAAGGGAAAGAUUUAUUGGUAAGAGAUUAGCCUGUAUUGUAUCAGUUAGUUGGUGGGGUAAUGGCUUACCAAGACUAUGACACAUAACUGGUUUGAGAGGAUGAUCAGUCACACUGGAACUGAGACACGGUCCAGACUCCUACGGGAGGCAGCAGUGGGGAAUAUUGCACAAUGGACGGAAGUCUGAUGCAGCAACGCCGCGUGGAGGAUGACACAUUUCGGUGCGUAAACUCCUUUUAUAUGAGAAGAUAAUGACGGUAUUAUAUGAAUAAGCACCGGCUAACUCCGUGCCAGCAGCCGCGGUAA
rnacentral:rRNA from 1 species